UACGAAGGGGGCUAGCGUUGUUCGGAAUCACUGGGCGUAAAGCGCGCGCAGGUGGUUUCUUAAGUCUGAUGUGAAAGCCCACGGCUCAACCGUGGAGGGUCAUUGGAAACUGGGAGACUUGAGUGCAGAAGAGGAAAGUGGAAUUCCAUGUGUAGCGGUGAAAUGCGUAGAGAUAUGGAGGAACACCAGUGGCGAAGGCGACUUUCUGGUCUGUAACUGACACUGAGGCGCGAAAGCGUGGGGAGCAAACAGG
rnacentral:rRNA from 1 species